GACUACUGGGGUAUCUAAUCCUGUUUGCUCCCCACGCUGUCGCGCCUCAGCGUCAGCAACGGCCCAGCAGGCCGCCUUCGCCACCGAUGUUCUUCCCGAUCUCUACGCAUUCCACCGCUACACCGGGAAUUCCACCUGCCUCUACCGUGCUCAAGCCUGACAGUCUCGAAGGCAGUGCUGCGGUUGAGCCGCAGCGUUUCACCCCCGACUUACCAGGCCGCCUACGCGCCCUUUACGCCCAGUGAUUCCGGACAACGCUUGCACCCUCUGUAUUACCGCGGCUGCUGGCACAGAGUUAGCCGGUGCUUCCUUUGGAGGUACCGUCAGAGCUUCGUCCCUCCCGACAGCGGUUUACAACCCGAAGGCCGUCAUCCCGCACGCGGCGUCGCUGCGUCAGGCUUUCGCCCAUUGCGCAAGAUUCCCCACUGCUGCCCCCCGUAGG
rnacentral:rRNA from 1 species